UGCAUAUCCCAAAAAGCGGAGGAAAAGAAACUAACAAGGAUUCCCCUAGUAACUGCGAGUGAAGCGGGAAAAGCUCAAAUUUAAAAUCUGGUGGUCUUUGGCCAUCCGAGUUGUAAUCUAGAGAAGUGUUAUCCGCGCUGGACCGUGUACAAGUCCCCUGGAAUGGGGCGUCAUAGAGGGUGAGAAUCCCGUCUUUGACACGGACUACCAGGGCUUUGUGAUGCACUCUCAAAGAGUCGAGUUGUUUGGGAAUGCAGCUCAAAAUGGGUGGUAAAUUCCAUCUAAAGCUAAAUAUUGGCGAGAGACCGAUAGCGAACAAGUACCGUGAGGGAAAGAUGAAAAGAACUUUGGAAAGAGAGUUAAACAGUACGUGAAAUUGUUGAAAGGGAAACGCUUGAAGUCAGUCGCGUCUGCCAGGGAUCAACCUUACUUUUGUGAGGCGUACUUCCUGGUUGAUGGGUCAGCAUCAGUUUUGGUCGCUGGAUAAAGGUCAGAGAAAUGUGGCACCUUCGGGUGUGUUAUAGUCUUUGAUCAGAUACAGUGGCUGGGACUGAGGAACUCAGCGCCGCAAGGCUGUCUUAGGAUGCUGGCAAAAUGGCUUUAAUCGACCCGUCUUGAAACACGGCCAAAGGGAGUCA
rnacentral:rRNA from 2 species